rnacentral:rRNA from 1 species
GACGAACGCUGGCGGCGUGCCUAAUACAUGCAAGUAGAACGCUGAAGGAGGAGCUUGCUUCUCUGGAUGAGUUGCGAACGGGUGAGUAACGCGUAGGUAACCUGCCUGGUAGCGGGGGAUAACUAUUGGAAACGAUAGCUAAUACCGCAUAAUAUUGACUAUUGCAUGAUAGUCAGUUGAAAGGUGCAACUGCACCACUACCAGAUGGAUCUGCGUUGUAUUAGCUAGUUGGUGGGGUAACGGCUCACCAAGGCGACGAUACAUAGCCGACCUGAGAGGGUGAUCGGCCACACUGGGACUGAGACACGGCCCAGACUCCUACGGGAGGCAGCAGUAGGGAAUCUUCGGCAAUGGACGGAAGUCUGACCGAGCAACGCCGCGUGAGUGAAGAAGGUUUUCGGAUCGUAAAGCUCUGUUGUAAGAGAAGAACGAGUGUGAGAGUGGAAAGCUCACACUGUGACGGUAUCUUACCAGAAAGGGACGGCUAACUACGUG